UGGUUGACAUGAUACAAUAUCUUUUCAAAAGAUGAUACAUUAUCUUCAUGAAAGAAAGGAAGUUGGAGAAGUUAUUAUUUAAGAGGAAUUCAGUGUCAUGUGGUUCUCAAGAGCUAAAAUGGAACAACAAGUGCAAGCCUGUCAUGCCUACACUAACUAAUCAGAUUUCCCGAGGGAGAAGAAGGAGGUGCCGAAAGGGUAUGGGAGUAACAAGUCUGAAUCGAAGAGUAUAUAUGUUUUGAUUUUGAGUUGCAUUGCCCAGUAUUUUUAUUGUUCUAAGAAAUCCAUGGAGAUGUCUAUGGAACAUUUCCUUGAUGUGAUAGGCAUAUUUGUUUACCACAUUCAGUUGUUGGCCCUGCUGUUGACGUCCAUGGUGGCGCUGAUGAUGAUCUUGGCAAGGAUUUGAUGUAUCUGCCUGGGGUCUUGGUAUGUCCUUGAGCACGCAUCAGGUAUGUAUGUAUCUGUUUGUAUAUUAGUGCAGUUUGUAGUUCAUUCGGUGCAUGUCCCUAAACCAAAGAAUUUUAGACAUCUCAAGUAGCAAAUUACAUGGUUUGGUGUGUCAUACAUGAUUUAAUAGAAAGCACCACCACAGCCUUGCGUGUGCUUGUAUAGCUACAUGGUGUUUCAGAGCAGCACUCUAUAAUUUGGCACAUGGCUUCAUGAUUUAUCGUAGCCGCUUCACAGGGUGCAUGCCUAUGAGUGUCUAUGUAUGUGCAUGUGUACUCGUCAUAGGACUGAGCUGAAACUAAUUAUGAUUAAUUUGCCCAUUCUGUGAUGUGCGCUUACGUGAAUACCAUUGGCACCUUUGUAAAUUCUCUAAGCUAAAUCCAAUAUUUCGGGUGUUCUUUGACCACUCAAUUCACCUUUGUAAAUUCUGAAAGCCAACUAUUUUGACACCAGGCCAAUUCAGUUAGUUACAAAAUUGCAGUAGCCAAAACACUCUUCA